GGACAACUCUCGGCAAUGGAUAUCUCGGCUCUCGCAUCGAUGAAGAAUGUAGCGAAAUGCGAUAUUUGGUGUGAAUUGCAGAAUCCUGUGAGCCAUCGAGUCUUUGAACGCAAGUUGCGCCUGAGGCCACCCGGGCGAGGGCACGCCUGCCUGGGCGUCACGCACCGCGCUGCCCUCACCCGGCCCCGGGUGAGGGCGGAGAUUGGCCGACCGUGCCCCUCGGGGCGCGGCAGGCUGAAAGCUGCACCUUGACUGCCCCCGGCGGGGCGUCAGCACGGCGUUGGGUGGUCACCGGGGCUCCACGAGCCGACAUGAUCGGACACUGUGCACGUCGCCCCCCGGGGCACCAACGCACCCUAGAUUGCAACGCGACCCCAGGUCAGGCGGUGGCACCCGCCGAGUUUAAGCAUAUAAAUAAGCGGAGGAAAAGAAACUUACGAGGAUUCCCCUAGUAACAGCGAGC
rnacentral:rRNA from 1 species